rnacentral:rRNA from 1 species
GACGAACGCUGGCGGCGUGCCUAAUACAUGCAAGUAGAACGCACAGUUUAUACCGUAGCUUGCUACACCAUAAACUGUGAGUUGCGAACGGGUGAGUAACGCGUAGGUAACCUGCCUGGUAGCGGGGAAUAACUAUUGGAAACGAUAGCUAAUACCGCAUAAUAUUAAUUAUUGCAUGAUAAUUGAUUGAAAGAUGCAAUUGCAUCACUACCAGAUGGACCUGCGUUGUAUUAGCUAGUAGGUGAGGUAACGGCUCACCUAGGCGACGAUACAUAGCCGACCUGAGAGGGUGAUCGGCCACACUGGGACUGAGACACGGCCCAGACUCCUACGGGAGGCAGCAGUAGGGAAUCUUCGGCAAUGGACGAAAGUCUGACCGAGCAACGCCGCGUGAGUGAAGAAGGUUUUCGGAUCGUAAAGCUCUGUUGUAAGAGAAGAACGGGUGUGAGAGUGGAAAGUUCACACUGUGACGGUAUCUUACCAGAAAGGGACGGCUAACUACGUG